CUCUUCUCCUCCUCCGCCUCCCUCUUCUCUUCCUCCUCUUUCUAACGCUAGUGGCAACGCGCGACAGUCCCACGGAGUCUUCUCCGGUUGAUUUCAGGCUGAACACGUUUCCUACGACGAUCGAUAAUCGUCGUGGUGCGAGACAGCGAGCGAGGGAUCGAACUGAUCGAAAGUUGCGAAAGUGCAGUACCGUCGUGUGGUACCGUGUCUCGGUCUCGCAGCCGCCGUUUGAUCACCAAUCGACUGUGGGGCACGUAACGUCGUCGCGUCGCCGAGCGGGAUGCGACGUCGCCGUGAAUAAAUGUGAACGCGAAAGACUGCCCGAUCGGAUUUCUGUCGUGGCGAGAACGGUGCGCGUCACCGAACCGAGCGUAAAAGAACGAGGAACGAAGAGAAAGAGAGAGAGAAAGCGAGAAAGGCAGGAACAGAGAAAGAUAGAGCGAGGGAGAGAAAGAGGGGCGAGAAAAAGAGAAAGAAAGAGAGGCGGAUUCUCGCGGUUGCUUUCGGUGGCUUCGACGACCGUUGUGAAUUGCCCCAAUGGCGCAUGCACGGCUCAGCUGUACGCGUCCUGUACACAUCGUGGAGUAAUGCACCUUCCUACGGGACUCUCGUCCGGGUGACAGCACCAACCGCCGACGGGACGUGCGGUGACGUCGCAGGAAACAUGGAGCGUCCAUUAAGCGUCACAGUUGCACAUUGCUGGAAUCGAUGCUACAUUUAGCCUUAGCGUUUGGAUAGUUUUUGAUGCGACAGGAACAGUGCGUUAUCAAGACACAGUAGUCCAAGCUCUUGUCAGGAGAGAUGGAUACGGUGUGCGAUGAGGACAGGCGGAGACGCCUGAAAAGUUUGGAGGAGCGCAUAAAGGAUCCAAGGAGCGUCACAAAUAUCGAUUGCUUGUUGGACACUGUGCAAGCCCUGGUGUCGGAUUGCGAUCAUGCAAGUGUAAAACGUAUGAAAAACAUAGAAGGUUAUAUGAAUAGAUAUGACUCGGUAGCUCAAGAGAUUUAUAAAAUGCGAAUGCGCACGGACGACUUUACUUUGAUAAAAGUAAUCGGUCGUGGCGCGUUCGGAGAGGUGCAGUUGGUUAGAAAUAAAUCUACGCAAAAAGUUUAUGCCAUGAAAUUGCUUAGUAAAUUCGAAAUGAUCAAAAGGUCGGACUCGGCGUUCUUCUGGGAAGAGAGGGACAUAAUGGCUCACGCGAACUCUCCAUGGAUAGUCCAGCUCCAUUUUGCGUUCCAAGAUCAAAAGUACCUCUACAUGGUAAUGGAUUACAUGCCGGGCGGAGAUCUGGUGAACUUGAUGUCGAACUACGAAGUGCCAGAGAAGUGGGCGAAAUUUUACUGCGCCGAGGUGGUACUUGCACUGGAUGCAAUACAUCUCAUGGGGUUCGUUCACAGAGACGUGAAGCCGGAUAAUAUGUUGCUCGACAAGUACGGUCACUUGAAACUCGCCGAUUUCGGCACGUGUAUGCGGAUGGAUGCUGAUGGCUUGGUGCGAUCUGAUACCGCGGUUGGUACGCCGGAUUACAUAUCUCCGGAGGUCUUGCAAUCUCAAGGCGGAGAGGGUGUGUAUGGCCGUGAAUGCGACUGGUGGUCCGUAGGCGUUUUCUUAUACGAGAUGCUGUUCGGUGACACGCCGUUCUUCGCCGAUUCGUUAGUUGGCACAUACUCGAAGAUCAUGGAUCACAGGAACUCGCUGUACUUCCCUCAGAAUGUCGAAAUCUCACAUUCAGCGAAGAACUUGAUAUGCGGCUUCCUCACCGACCGGACGAAGCGCCUGGGCCGCAACGGCGUCGACGAGAUUAAGAGUCAUCCAUUUUUCAAGAAUGAUCAGUGGACCUUCGACAAUCUGAGGGAAUGCGUACCGCCAGUGGUGCCCGAGCUCUCCGGGGACGACGAUACCAGCAAUUUCGACGACGUCGACAAGGAAGACGGGCCAGAGGAAAGCUUUCCGAUACCCAAAGCUUUCUGCGGGAAUCACUUGCCGUUCAUUGGGUUCACGUACUCGGCAGAUUAUCAACUAAUGGCUUCUUAUGGCAAGGAGGCCGUGGACGGUGCGGAAAAUCAUAUCAACAACGGCACCACCGAUGACGUGAAGAUCGCGCAGCUGGAGAAUCUGUUAGAUCGCGAGAGGCGGCAAGUGGAGGUGAUGGAGUCGAGGCAGAAAACGUUGGGCACGCAGUUGGAGGCGAUGGCGCGCCGGGAGGCCGAGCUGCGCGACGAAGUCGGCAGAGCGGACAAGGAGCUGACGCUGCUCAGACACAAUUACAAGGAGGCGCAGCGUAGAGUGGAGCUCGAGACGGAGGCGCGCCGGAAAGCAGACUCGCUGCUGGCGGAGGUGAAGAAGAAGUUCGACGAGGAGCAGACAAGGCGGGCGCGAGACGCCAGUAACUCGCAGCAGACGUCCGAACGCGUGACGACGUUGGAGAAGCAGAUCAAGGAGAUGCAGUGCAAGCUCGAGAGGGAAACCGAGGCGGUGGCAAGAUUGCGCAAACAAGCGACGGAGAUUACCGUGGCGCGUCAGGCCGCCGAACAAAUGGCGAACGAGCUGCAGGUAGCCAGAGCUACGCUGCAAGCACAGCGCGAUAACUUGCAGCAGGAGGUCGCCACUCUGCAGGGUCAACUCUCCAAGGAACGUAGUUCCCGAUCGCAAGCGUCAUUUUUGACAGCCGAAUUGGAGACUCGCCUUUCCGCGUUGCACCUCGAGCUGGAGCGCAGUCGCGAAAAAGAGGAGAAAGCGACGCUGGACAAUCGACAACUGACCGAAAGGGUUUCCGCCUUGGAGAAGGAAGCCGCUAGUUUGACUUUGGAAUUGAAAGCUGCGCAGGCCAGGUACAAUCAGGAGGUUGUAGCGCACCAAGAAACGGAGCGUUCGCGCAUUCUUUCCAAGGAGGAGGCUAAUCUGGAAGUCGUCAAAGUAUCUUUUAUUUUGUACGAUGCAGGACAAAAGAACGGAAUUUUUGAAGUGAAACUAAACGAGGAGAAGAGCGGAAGGCAACGCGCGGAAUUACUCGCGCAAGAAAAGGAACGUCAGACGUCGAUGCUCUCUGUCGAUUACCGGCAGAUACAGCAACGAUUGCAGAAAUUAGAGGGCGAGCACAGGCAAGAAACGGAAAAGGUGAAGGUUCUGCAAGGCCAAGUAGAUCAGGAGCAACAGAAAAGAAACGUUCUGCAGACCGAAUUGGGUCAGCAUACGUCCGAAGUGGGACGGCUUCGCGCUCGCGAGCAGCAGUUAGUUGGCGAGGUUGCUCAGUUAAGGGAAGCUAAGCGACUAAUAGAAGAAGAAUUACAUCAUUUGAAGACGCAAAGAAACGUGGACCAGUUACAGACGAAGGAGCUGCAGGAGCAAUUGGAGGCAGAAGCUUAUUUCUCGACUCUUUACAAGACACAGACGCAAGAGUUGCGCGAAGAGUUAGAUGAGAAAGUGAGAUUGCAGCAGGAAUUGGAAGAGGAGCGUAGUUCUCUGGUUCAUCAGUUGCAGCUCUCUUUGGCGCGCGGUGACAGCGAGGCGCUGGCCAGAUCGAUAGCCGAGGAGACGGUAGCGGAUUUGGAGAAAGAGCGGACCAUGAAAGAAUUAGAGUACAAGGACGGAGUAGCGAAGCAACACCAAGAGCUAAGCGCGAAGGAGCAACUUAUUAACAGGCUGAAGGAAAACGAGGCCGAGUUUAAGAAGUCGGUCGAUCAGACUCUGAAAGAGAAGGAGGACCUGGGCAAGCGGUUAAAGGACCUGCAGGACCAACUCGGUAAGGCGCAGUCCAACGCCGAGGAGAUCGAGAAACUGAGCAGCAAGCUGAAGACUGAGCAACUGUUGAAGCAGCAAGCGGUCAACAAGUUGGCAGAGAUCAUGAAUCGGAAGGAUCUCUCGUCAAGCGGGAAGAACAAGAACAAGGCGUCUGCGGCAGAUCUGAGGAAGAAGGAGAAGGAUUGCAGGCGCUUGCAGCAGGAGCUUACUCAGGAGAGGGAGAAGUACGGACAGCUGGCAGCUAAGUGGCAAAAGGAUCUGCAGGAUUUGCAGGCGCAACUCGUAGAGGAGAAUCAGGCGAAACUGAGGCUGCAGAUGGAACUGGACUCGAAGGACUCGGAGAUAGAGACGCUGCAGAUGAAGAUUGCGUCGCUGAAUUCGGAAACUGCCAGCGUCUCGUCGAUGGAGAACGACGACGGCGAGGACUCCGUCCUGUCGGAGCACGGUACGAUGAGGCUGGAGGGCUGGCUAAAUGUGCCAAACAAGCAGAACAUUAAGCGGCACGGCUGGAAGAAGCAGUACGUCGUCGUUUCCUCGAAGAAGAUCAUCUUCUACAACAGCGAGAACGACAAGAUGAAUGCCGAUCCGGUCCUGAUAUUAGACUUGAACAAGGUCUUCCACGUUAGAUCUGUUACUCAGGGUGAUGUUAUCCGAGCCAAUGCCAAAGAUAUACCGAGAAUAUUUCAGUUACUCUACGCUGGUGAAGGCGAAGCGAGACGGCCCGGCGACGAGGGUAAUACACUGCCUGGAGUGGAUUUGCCGCAGCUCACGGACAAGCCCGGCACUCAGUCGCUGAAAGGCCACGAGUUCGUGUCGAUAUCUUAUCACAUGCCAACUACUUGCGAAGUCUGUUCGAAGCAACUCUGGCACAUGUUCCGGCCCUCGCCGGCCCUCGAAUGCCGACGAUGCCGUAUCAAGGUUCACAAGGAACAUUUGGAUAAGAAGGAAGAUGCCAUAGCUCCGUGCAAGUUACACUACGACCCGAACAGCGCCCGCGAGCUGCUGCUGCUCGCGACGAAUCCCGAGGAUCAGAAGUACUGGGUCUCGAGGCUGUCCAGGCGCGUCCAGAAAUGUGGCUACAAAGCCAACUCGCACGUGGACGGCACGGGACAGCGCGUCUCUCCAAGGUAGCGUAGCCGCGCUGCUGCUGCUCGGCGCGAGCGGGGACUAAGUAGCUCUCUUAAUUUGUGGUCGUCGCAUGAUGUGGGUGUAGAGAGGGAAUCCACGAGGUCGACUCUGAAGCCAUAUCUGUCGGUGCAGCAACGGUCCGCGACGUUGCCAGCGAAUGCCAGCAUGGGCAAGUGAUCCCGGAGGAUGCUGAUAUUGGCCAUGAAGGACUCAGUUCACGAAUUGCUGUCCCGUUGAUUCCCGAUAAUGAUGAUAGUGAUCGGUGGCGAUAUAUCGGGUCGUCAUAAUGAACUACCAUCUAUGACCUCGCGAUAUUUUCUCUGCGCAUCCCUCUGCGGCGAUCGAAGUAGACUGUCAAUAAUUUCCUAGUACGUUGAAAGGAUAAUCGGUAUAGCUCGAUCGUAACGUUAAUAUUGCAGCUAAGAGUAAGUAGAAUUCGAAUUCGAGAAACGCUGGAGGAAACAGGGUUACUAACGUAUCAUCGGGUACCGGAUAAACGGAUAGGAUGUGGAGAAGGAGCAUCAAAGUAAAGUGGGUAAGAAACACUACUACGCCGUAGUCUCCGCGCGCCAUUGCCGUCUCCGGGAUGAUAACGACAAAAUCGAAGUCUAAGGACGCGCCAUACUCGUAAAAUCGUCGGAUAAUUCCCUCGCGACGGACAAUACGACGUAACGACCUUCUUCUACGGCGAUACUUAACGAUUUCGCGAUACUUAACGAUACAAACUAUUGUAGAACGUUCUUCUAGGGAACGAUCGAAUUUCUACGAUGAUUUUUCUGAUUGGAAAACUGUACUCGACACUUUGUACGCACAUUUCUUACUGCCUUGGAUAAACGAUCAAUGCGAAUCGUGAUGAGGACUUUUUAGCUUAAGGCGAUUUUUUUGAUGCUUUAAAAUGCCGAAAUUUCGGAAUCUUGCAAGGAAACGAAUAUAAUAUCUUGAAAUUAUUUUAUAUACAGAUUGUUCUGAGAAUGCGCAUGUGUGUAUGUGUGUGAGUACGUAUGCGCGGAUGGUAUCUUGCUUUUUAACAUGACUCGCGUCUCAGCGAGGAUUUAUUUAACGGUCGAACUUGAAUUUCGGGCGAACUUGAAAGAGAAAGAAAGAAAAGUUUUGAAAGGAUGUAAGAUAAAAAUGUUGAACGCGCGUCCGAGAAUUAAUGUUCUCGUUGUGAGAAGUCCGGCAAGUCCAGCAAAGGUCGGCUGCGCGGACACUGCGAGGAGGAAGCAGCAUCGCAAAGUUACUCGACGCGCGGCGCGUGCAGGACUAUGCGAGUACACAGCGGCGAGUGCCAGCCUUGUACAGUAAAAGUAAUGAUUAUAAUUGUAAGUUAAUAAGUUUUAUUACAAUGAUACACGAGCUAACGACGUCUGCUGUAUUCCGACAGAGACAGAGAAAGAGAGAGAGAGAAAGGAGAAAAACUAGAGAAGAGAAUCAUGCAUAAUCGAGAGGCUUAGAAGCUUCGUCGUGGUGCCAUACGGCUUGGCCAUUCUUGGCAUCGAAGGAAGCGACAAAAAGAAACAAAAAGGAAAAAAAAGGACAUGGAACGAUAGUAUGAAUUGUAUUAUAGCUAUUAUUAACGCGUCAUCGCGCCGUCUGUGUUCUUUCCAAAGUACCUCCGCGAGACAUCGCGUCGUGCCGAGACUCGAAAUCGCAACGAAAACGGCCGCUUGCAUCGACUUGUUCGUGUCAACUAAUCGCGGUUAAUCGUAUUCUUCUGCCCCGUGCAUAUCCUCAAGGAUAAUGGUUGAAAUUAAAUGAAUCAUAAUUUCCUGCCCCUUUCCAGUCAAAUUCUAAAAAGGAAUUCGCUCAGCUACGAAGGAUUCAGAAGAAAAGUCCUACUUUUUUUCUUCAGACACAGGAAAUCUCGGAAGAGAGACAAAAAGUCGGUUAAGCGUAUAUAUAAUUCGCGUAUAAAUAUAGAACGGAGCAGGAAGGAUCAGAUCCAGAAAGAAGUAGAGAGUCGAUGACUGGAACUAAGUUAAGCAAGGUUGUACCGGUCGUACCGGUUACAGAGCUACACCAAGGUGCGGCUAAAUUAAAUUCUCUCAUCCCAUCUGAUUCGCAUUCAGCGCUAGAGAGGGAAUGUAGAAUUGCUAAUCGACAUUAGUUGACUAAUACUGUCGGUAUAACUGGCUCGACGAACUCGGCGAGACGUCCCUCAAAUGGUGCUCCCCCUGUCCCAUCCAUUCUUUUGAUUUAGCGAAGCAGCGCGAACGAGCGGAAAGCUGCCGAUGUUUCCUCGACGAUUGGUGAUAAAUUGGAAUUGAAAGUGCGGAAGAACAAAAGAACGAAAGAGCGAAAGAGCGAGAGAAUGAGAGCAAAAGAGACAGGUGCAUAUUGAAACGAAGAGGAAUACCAUCCGAUAUAUUGCCCCGUGCCUCCUUCGUUAUUUCGGUCCUCCAUCAGGACGAAACACGAAGAAAAUUCACAAUGAGAGGACGAAAGCGAGAAUGCGAGAUUGAAAGAGAGAGAGACAGAGAAUGUGAGAGAGUAUGAAUGAGAGGAAAGAAAAGAGAAAGAACUUGUUACAGCAUAUUUUAUUAUUGUUUAGUUAUUUACAAUCUGUAUAUUAUUAAUUAAUAUUACGAUUAAAAGUAUUUUGUAGAUAAUAUGUGCGGCUCUGAUAAUGCUUUUUACAACCACCGACCGCGCGAGCUCUUAUCUUAUUAUAUCUUUCAUGAUGAAAUCACUCUUUGUAGUAAUCUUUUCGUGGCAUCCGUUAUUUUUAUUCUUGAUCGGUGGCUCAAAAACUGCUCCCGCUCUCAAUAAAUCGGGGUACGAGUGGAGCUCGUAGAAUUAACCGGAAAUCCCUUUAUGACUGUACUGACAAUUUUAUGAUGUAACAUCGUCGUGAUCGAGAAUAAGUCUGGACUGUUUCAAACACGUUAAUUCGUUGCCUCGUCUUCUCCUUUAAUGAAACCAUCUCACUUUAGUUGAAUAAUUUUGAUAUUUAAAAAA